rnacentral:tRNA from 1 species
GUCCCCUUCGUCUAGUGGCCCAGGACACCGCCCUUUCACGGCGGUAACAGGGGUUCGACUCCCCUAGGGGACCCCA